UGUGAACUGCAGGACACAUGAACAUCGACAUUUCGAACGCACAUUGCGGUCCACGGAUUAUAUUCCCGGACCACGCCUGGCUGAGGGUCGUUUAUUGAUACAAACCAGACUGUUCGUUUCGUACGAACGAUGUAUUGGGCGUUCGUUGUGCGAAUUUGUUUUUUUCUUCUUUGAUGUAAUCAAUGUUAAGGAAAAUACUUUCGUUAAGGCGUCGCCCGAAAUGAUUGAAGAAAUAAAUUCAAAGUCGUAUUUGAGAGCCAAUAUACGUGAGCAGAUUCAUAAAAUAACCACGCACAAUCGUUGCUCGCGUCGUGCUAUCUCGAACGCAUCUAGUACGUACAUGAAAAAGAUUUGUUGCGUCAAGGAACCCUUGUGCGUUCCUUACAUUUCAUGUUACAUGAUUAAAUCGAUGCUCUUACGAUAGGAUCUUGAUCGACGAGUCCAUGAGCUUAUCUGAAUAUUUAUCUAGAAUAAAGCGGGACCGUUGAAUCGGGUCGUCGAUCUUAAUGGAAAAUCGAUAGUCGUAACUGGUGUAAGAAUAAACAUAACGCACUUGGCUAUAACAUUAACGUUAACGAUCGACGUUUUCGAACGCUCUUUAUCUCGUCUUUCGUGUUGUUGUUAAUAUCCUGGUUAUUGAUAGAUGAUUUUGUGAUGGUCUGUGCCGACAAAUCGACUGAUUUAUUUUCUUCUCAUUGACAGUGCAUAUAAAAACUGUAUUUAUUUUGUAUAGUUUUUAAACUAUCAAAAUAAUGAGAAAAUAUAUUAAUAACAUUGACGACCUCAGAGCAGGCGAGACUACCCCCUAAAUUUAAGCAU
rnacentral:rRNA from 1 species